rnacentral:lncRNA from 1 species
UUACCAGUUAAGUCAGAAAUAACACUUGAUUCUAAACAAAUAUUAAGUUUUCAUAGCAUGUGAUUGCAACCCAAUAUCAAGUCAUACUCAAACAACUCGUACAUAAUGUUUUUAUGAUACAGUACCUUAAAUAAAACACGUUUCACUAUUUCAUUACAGAUUAUCCGCCAUGUAAACAUGCUCCAAUAGAAUGAAAAAAACAUGAAAAACUAUCUUACCUCAUGAAACAUACUUAGAAUACCAUAGCUGGAGAUGGUUAGUUAGUACUACUAUUUUGCCAAAACAAUUCAAUCGUUAAAGCAACUAUAUUCAUGCUUUUUUCAAUCAACAGAUAAGUCUGAUGCACUUAUCUAAAUAAAUAUUUCAUUGUGCAGAGAAAAGUUUCUCAACAAAUAUCUUUUUAAGUACUAAUCGCUUGGUGUUUUGUACAGAAAAAGGCUGAAAGAUAAAUGCAUGACUGCUGAACACUAUAUUACAAGUUCUAAAUAGAUGGCAAUUUGAUAACUGGUGAAUUUCUUCUAUCAGUCAAUGCAACAUAUACAUAACAGUAACUUGAGGAGCAGGAAGUAUGGCCAGAGGAAAUAACUCCAGUAACAAAUCAAUAAUAAUAAUUUGUAAUUUGCCGAUUACUCCUUAAAAUUGGAAUGUAGGCCUUUUUUCACUUCCCUCUCUCCCAUGAGUUCACUAAUAUCUGACAGUGUUAUAAUAUAUUUACAAACCAAACCUUUUUGGUCUCAAGAAUGUGGACGAACCCUUUUUCAAACCUGGCAUGGAAAUUUGCUGCUGAUUCUUGGCCAUUUUUUCUUUCUCCUUCUGUUUAUUUUCCCUCUCGAACUCUGCUUGUUCCUUCUUUAAAUUUUCCAUUUCCUCUUCCAUGGCCGUUUUCUCUUGCUUCUGUUUCUUUUUAUGUUCUAGUAGUGAUGUAUCAGACUCUUUCACAGAGAAAAACAUAGGUCCCAACACAUUUCCUCUUCCAUGGCCGUUUUCUCUUGCUUCUGUUUCUUUUUAUGUUCUAGUAGUGAUGUAUCAGACUCUUUCACAGAGAAAAACAUAGGUCCCAACUCCGCAAGCCAGUGGGGCUCUACCGCUGUGGCACACUGCAUGUACUCCUUUGUUGUUAGGAUUAACUCGUGAUAAACUACAUAAUCAGGAGUGCAACCCAUGCCAUAGAGAGCGCUACUGGGAUGAAGGUGACAUGGCAUCCCAUUUCGUGAGUUAACAUACUCCCCGACACCCUUUAAUCUUGCUGAAUUGUGGAAGUACGCAGAACAAAUUGCCUUUCUGACAACAUCUGUAUCGGGCCAGCAUGUGGUUAACGGAAUUUUGAGAGUCUUGAGAAUAUCAAGCAGCUGGGAUCUUACCUCUCUAGCCUUUCU